GACGAACGCUGGCGGCGUGCUUAACACAUGCAAGUCGAACGGAAAGACCCUGCUUUUGUGGGGUGCUCGAGUGGCGAACGGGUGAGUAACACGUGAGUAACCUGCCCUUGACUUUGGGAUAACUUCAGGAAACUGGGGCUAAUACCGGAUAGGAGCUCCUGCUGCAUGGUGGGGGUUGGAAAGUUUCGGCGGUUGGGGAUGGACUCGCGGCUUAUCAGCUUGUUGGUGGGGUAGUGGCUUACCAAGGCUUUGACGGGUAGCCGGCCUGAGAGGGUGACCGGCCACAUUGGGACUGAGAUACGGCCCAGACUCCUACGGGAGGCAGCAGUGGGGAAUAGUGCACAAUGGGCGGAAGCCUGAUGCAGCAAAGCCGCGUGCGGGAUGACGGCCUUCGGGUUGUAAACCGCUUUCGCCUGUGACGAAGCGUGAGUGACGGUAAUGGGUAAAGAAGCACCGGCUAACUACGUG
rnacentral:rRNA from 1 species